GACAGAGGAGGCAAGCGUUGUUCGGAAUCAUUGGGCUUAAAGCGCGUGUAGGCGGCUUCGUAAGUGUCUUGUGAAAUCCCGUGGCUCAACCACGGAACUGCUGGGCAUACUGCGAGGCUUGAGGUUGGUAGAGGUGCCUGGAACUCUUGGUGGAGCGGUGAAAUGUGUAGAUAUCAAGAGGAACGCCGGAGGCGAAAGCGGGGCACUGGGCCAAAUCUGACGCUGAGACGCGAAAGCGUGGGGAUCAAACAGG
rnacentral:rRNA from 1 species